AGAACGAACGCUGGCGGCAGGCCUCAAACAUGCAAGUCUAGGGGGUGUAGCAAUACAUCACCGGCGGACGGGUGCGUAACACGUGGGAAUAUACCUUUUGGUUCGGAACAACGCAGGGAAACUUGCGCUAAUACCGAAUGUGCCCUUACGGGGAAAGAUUUAUCGCCAAAAGGAUUAGCCCGCGUAGGAUUAGCUAGUUGGUGAGGUAAUGGCUCACCAAGGCUCCGAUCCUUAGCUGUUCUGAGAGGAAGAUCAGCCACACUGGGACUGAGACACGGCCCAGACUCCUACGGGAGGCAGCAGUUGGGAAUCUUGGACAAUGGGGGAAACCCUGAUCCAGCCAUGCCGCGUGAGUGAUGAAGGCCUUCGGGUUGUAAAACUCUUUCGACGGGACGAUAAUGACGGUACCCGUAGAAGAAGCUCCGGCUAACUUCGUGCCAGCAGCCGC
rnacentral:rRNA from 1 species